rnacentral:rRNA from 1 species
GAUGAACGCUGGCGGCGUGCCUAAUACAUGCAAGUCGAGCGAACAGACGAGGAGCUUGCUCCUCUGACGUUAGCGGCGGACGGGUGAGUAACACGUGGAUAACCUACCUAUAAGACUGGGAUAACUUCGGGAAACCGGAGCUAAUACCGGAUAAUAUAUUGAACCGCAUGGUUCAAUAGUGAAAGACGGUUUUGCUGUCCCUUAUAGAUGGAACCGCGCCGCAUUAGCUAGUUGGUAAGGUAACGGCUUACCAAGGCAACGAUGCGUAGCCGACCUGAGAGGAUGAUCGGCCACACUGGAACUGAGACACGGUCCAGACUCCUACGGGAGGCAGCAGUAGGGAAUCUUCCGCAAUGGGCGAAAGCCUGACGGAGCAACGCCGCGUGAGUGAUGAAGGUCUUCGGAUCGUAAAACUCUGUUAUUAGGGAAGAACAAAUGUGUAAGUAACUAUGCACGUCUUGACGGUACCUAAUCAGAAAGCCACGGCUAACUACGUG